AGUGAACGCUGGCGGUAGGCCUAACACAUGCAAGUCGAACGGCAGCACAGUAAGAGCUUGCUCUUACGGGUGGCGAGUGGCGGACGGGUGAGGAAUACAUCGGAAUCUACUUUUUCGUGGGGGAUAACGUAGGGAAACUUACGCUAAUACCGCAUACGACCUACGGGUGAAAGCAGGGGAUCUUCGGACCUUGCUCGAUUGAAUGAGCCGAUGUCGGAUUAGCUAGUUGGCGGGGUAAAGGCCCACCAAGGCGACGAUCCGUAGCUGUUCUGAGAGGAUGAUCAGCCACACUGGAACUAAGACACGGUACAGACUCAUACGGGAGGCAGCAGUGGGGAAUAUUGGACAAUGGGCGCAAGCCUGAUCCAGCCAUACCGCGUGGGUGAAGAAGGCCUGCGGGUUGUAAAGCCCUUUUGUUGGGAAAGAAAAGCAGCAGGUUAAGACCCCGCUGUUCGGACGGGACCCAAAGAAUAAGCACCGGCUAACUUCGU
rnacentral:rRNA from 1 species